UACGCAGGUGACCAGCGUUGUCCGGAUUUACUGGGCGUAAAGAGCGCGCAGGCGGUCGUUCAAGUCGAGUGUGAAAGCCCCCGGCUCAACUGGGGAGGGUCACUCGAUACUGAUCGACUUGAAGGCAGGAGAGGGAAGCGGAAUUCCCGGUGUAGUGGUGAAAUGCGUAGAUAUCGGGAGGAACACCAGUGGCGAAGGCGGCUUCCUGGCCUGUUCUUGACGCUGAGGCGCGAAAGCUAGGGGAGCAAACGGG
rnacentral:rRNA from 1 species